rnacentral:rRNA from 1 species
UACGUAGGGUGCAAGCGUUAAUCGGAAUCACUGGGCGUAAAGCGCACGUAGGCGGCUUUCUAAGUCAGGGGUGAAAUCCUGGAGCUCAACUCCAGAACUGCCUUUGAUACUGGAGAGCUAGAGUCCGGAAGAGGUGAGUGGAACUGCGAGUGUAGAGGUGAAAUUCGUAGAUAUUCGCAAGAACACCAGUGGCGAAGGCGGCUCACUGGUCCGGUACUGACGCUGAGGUGCGAAAGCGUGGGGAGCAAACAGG